AACGAACGCUGGCGGCAUGCCUAACACAUGCAAGUCGAACGAGACCUUCGGGUCUAGUGGCGCACGGGUGCGUAACGCGUGGGAGCCUGCCCUUAGGUUCGGAAUAACUCCCCGAAAGGGGUGCUAAUACCGGAUAAUGUCUUCGGACCAAAGAUUUAUCGCCUUUGGAUGGGCCCGCGUUGGAUUAGCUAGUUGGUAGGGUAAAAGCCUACCAAGGCGACGAUCCAUAGCUGGUCUGAGAGGAUGAUCAGCCACACUGGGACUGAGACACGGCCCAGACCCCUGCGGGAGGAAGAGGGGGGGAAUUGGGGAAAGGGGGGAAAGGCGUGAACCCGCAAUGCCGGGGGAGGGUAAAAGCCCUUGGGGUUGAAAAGCUUUUUUACCGGGGAAGAAAAGGACAGUCCGGGAAAAAAAAGCCCCGGCAAACCCCGUC
rnacentral:rRNA from 1 species